rnacentral:rRNA from 1 species
AUGCUGGAGGUAUCAGAAGUGCGAAUGCUGACAUAAGUAACGAUAAAGCGGGUGAAAAGCCCGCUCGCCGGAAGACCAAGGGUUCCUGUCCAACGUUAAUCGGGGCAGGGUGAGUCGACCCCUAAGGCGAGGCCGAAAGGCGUAGUCGAUGGGAAACAGGUUAAUAUUCCUGUACUUGGUGUUACUGCGAAGGGGGGACGGAGAAGGCUAUGUUGGCCGGGCGACGGUUGUCCCGGUUUAAGCGUGUAGGCUGGUUUUCCAGGCAAAUCCGGAAAAUCAAGGCUGAGGCGUGAUGACGAGGCACUACGGUGCUGAAGCAACAAAUGCCCUGCUUCCAGGAAAAGCCUCUAAGCAUCAGGUAACAUCAAAUCGUACCCCAAACCGACACAGGUGGUCAGGUAGAGAAUACCAAGGCGCUUGAGAGAACUCGGGUGAAGGAACUAGGCAAAAUGGUGCCGUAACUUCGGGAGAAGGCACGCUGAUAUGUAGGUGAAGUCCCUCGCGGAUGGAGCUGAAAUCAGUCGAAGAUACCAGCUGGCUGCAACUGUUUAUUAAAAACACAGCACUGUGCAAACACGAAAGUGGACGUAUACGGUGUGACGCCUGCCCGGUGCCGGAAGGUUAAUUGAUGGGGUCAGCGCAAGCGAAGCUCUUGAUCGAAGCCCCGGUAAACGGCGGCCGUAACUAUAACGGUCCUAAGGUAGCGAAAUUCCUUGUCGGGUAAGUUCCGACCUGCACGAAUGGCGUAAUGAUGGCCAGGCUGUCUCCACCCGAGACUCAGUGAAAUUGAACUCGCUGUGAAGAUGCAGUGUACCCGCGGCAAGACGGAAAGACCCCGUGAACCUUUACUAUAGCUUGACACUGAACAUUGAGCCUUGAUGUGUAGGAUAGGUGGGAGGCUUUGAAGUGUGGACGCCAGUCUGCAUGGAGCCGACCUUGAAAUACCACCCUUUAAUGUUUGAUGUUCUAACGUGGACCCGUAAUCCGGGUUGCGGACAGUGUCUGGUGGGUAGUUUGACUGGGGCGGUCUCCUCCUAAAGAGUAACGGAGGAGCACGAAGGUUGGCUAAUCCUGGUCGGACAUCAGGAGGUUAGUGCAAUGGCAUAAGCCAGCUUGACUGCGAGCGUGACGGCGCGAGCAGGUGCGAAAGCAGGUCAUAGUGAUCCGGUGGUUCUGAAUGGAAGGGCCAUCGCUCAACGGAUAAAAGGUACUCCGGGGAUAACAGGCUGAUACCGCCCAAGAGUUCAUAUCGACGGCGGUGUUUGGCACCUCGAUGUCGGCUCAUCACAUCCUGGGGCUGAAGUAGGUCCCAAGGGUAUGGCUGUUCGCCAUUUAAAGUGGUACGCGAGCUGGGUUUAGAACGUCGUGAGACAGUUCGGUCCCUAUCUGCCGUGGGCGCUGGAGAACUGAGGGGGGCUGCUCCUAGUACGAGAGGACCGGAGUGGACGCAUCACUGGUGUUCGGGUUGUCAUGCCAAUGGCACUGCCCGGUAGCUAAAUGCGGAAGAGAUAAGUGCUGAAAGCAUCUAAGCACGAAACUUGCCCCGAGAUGAGUUCUCCCUGACUCCUUGAGAGUCCUGAAGGAACGUUGAAGACGACGACGUUGAUAGGCCGGGUGUGUAAGCGCAGCGAUGCGUUGAGCUAACCGGUACUAAUGAACCGUGAGGCUUAACCUUACAACGCCGAAGGUGUUU